GAAAUUCGCCUUCAUGAAGCUGGAAUUGCUAGUAAUGGCAGGUCAGCAUACUGCCGUGAAUACGUUCCCGGGCCUUGUACACACCGCCCGUCACACCAUGAGAGUUGGGAAUACCCGAAGCCUGUGAGCUAACUUAUAGAGGCAGCAGUCGAAGGUAGAAUCAAUGAUUGGGGUGAAGUCGUAACAAGGUAAC
rnacentral:rRNA from 1 species